rnacentral:rRNA from 1 species
GAGCAUGCGCAGCUACCAUGCAGUCGAGCGGAACGAGUUAUCUGAACCUUCGGGGAACGAUAACGGCGUCGAGCGGCGGACGGGUGAGUAAUGCCUAGGAAAUUGCCCUGAUGUGGGGGAUAACCAUUGGAAACGAUGGCUAAUACCGCAUGAUGCCUACGGGCCAAAGAGGGGGACCUUCGGGCCUCUCGCGUCAGGAUAUGCCUAGGUGGGAUUAGCUAGUUGGUGAGGUAAGGGCUCACCAAGGCGACGAUCCCUAGCUGGUCUGAGAGGAUGAUCAGCCACACUGGAACUGAGACACGGUCCAGACUCCUACGGGAGGCAGCAGUGGGGAAUAUUGCACAAUGGGCGCAAGCCUGAUGCAGCCAUGCCGCGUGUGUGAAGAAGGCCUUCGGGUUGUAAAGCACUUUCAGUCGUGAGGAAGGUGGUGGUGUUAAUAGCAGUAUCAUUUGACGUUAGCGACAGAAGAAGCACCGGCUAACUCCGUGCCAGCAGCCGCGGUAAUACGGAGGGUGCGAGCGUUAAUCGGAAUUACUGGGCGUAAAGCGCAUGCAGGUGGUUUGUUAAGUCAGAUGUGAAAGCCCGGGGCUCAACCUCGGAAUUGCAUUUGAAACUGGCAGACUAGAGUACUGUAGAGGGGGGUAGAAUUUCAGGUGUAGCGGUGAAAUGCGUAGAGAUCUGAAGGAAUACCGGUGGCGAAGGCGGCCCCCUGGACAGAUACUGACACUCAGAUGCGAAAGCGUGGGGAGCAAACAGGAUUAGAUACCCUGGUAGUCCACGCCGUAAACGAUGUCUACUUGGAGGUUGUGGCCUUGAGCCGUGGCUUUCGGAGCUAACGCGUUAAGUAGACCGCCUGGGGGAGUACGGUCGCAAGAUUAAAACUCAAAUGAAUUGACAGGGGCCCGCCACAAGCGGUGGAGCAUGUGGUUUAAUUCGAUGCAACGCGAGAACCUUACCUACUCUUGACAUCCAGAAGAACUUUCCAGAGAUGGAUUGGUGCCUUCAGGAACUCUGAGACAGGUGCUGCAUGCUGUCGUCAGCUCGUGUUGUGAAUGUUGGAUUAAGUCCCGCACGAGCGCAACCGUUAUCCUUGUUUGCAGGCGAGUAUGUUCGGUAACUCCAUGGAGAACCUGCCGGGUGAUUAAUCUGGAGAGGGUGGGGGGACCGAACCGCUCUCAAGUCCAUUCAUGUGGCCUUUUA